AUCGAUGAAGAACGCAGCGAAAUGCGAUAAGUAAUGUGAAUUGCAGAAUUCAGUGAAUCAUCGAAUCUUUGAACGCACAUUGCGCCCUCUGGUAUUCCGGGGGGCAUGCCUGUUCGAGCGUCAUUACAACCCUCAAGCUCUGCUUGGUAUUAGGCCUUACCUGCUACAGGCAGGCCGUAAAAUCAGUGGCGGUGCCAUCUGGCUUCAAGCGUAGUAAUUCUUCUCGCUUCGGAGUACCGGCUGCGUGCCUGCUAUAAAACCCCAAUUUUAUCAAAGGUUGACCUCGGAUCAGGUAGGGAUACCCGCUGAACUUAAGCAUAUCAAUAAGCGGAGGAAAAGAAACCAACAGGGAUUGCCUUAGUAACGGCGAGUGAAGCGGCAACAGCUCAAAUUUGAAAUCUGUCUCUUUUAGAGUCCGAGUUGUAAUUUGUAGAGGAUGUUUCGGGCGUGGUCCGGUCUAAGUUCCUUGGAACAGGACGUCAUAGAGGGUGAGAAUCCCGUAUGCGACUGGGUGCCUAAGCUCAUGUGAAACUCCUUCGACGAGUCGAGUUGUUUGGGAAUGCAGCUCAAAAUGGGUGGUAAAUUUCAUCUAAAGCUAAAUAUUGGCCAGAGACCGAUAGCGCACAAGUAGAGUGAUCGAAAGAUGAAAAGCACUUUGGAAAGAGAGUUAAACAGUACGUGAAAUUGUUGAAAGGGAAGCGCUUGCAACCAGACUUGCAUUCAGUUGAUCAUCCGAUGUUCUCACCGGUGCACUCAAUUGUUUUCAGGCCAGCAUCGGUUUCGGUGGUUGGAUAAAGGCCUUGGGAAUGUAGCUUCUUUCGGGGAGUGUUAUAGCCCUCGGUGCAAUGCAGCCUACCGGGACCGAGGACCGCGCUUCGGCUAGGAUGCUGGCGUAAUGGUUGUAAGCGACCCGUCUUGAAACACGG
rnacentral:rRNA from 1 species